AUGUACAAUGUGUAUAUAAAAAAUGUAUACAUUCGUAAAUAUCCAUAAUAUCAUCCAGUUUUUAUGCAGUUACAAAUACACAAUUUUCUAAUCAAUUUCGUCUAAGAAAGAAGAUCAAUCAGUUUGCUAAAUGCUUUGAAUGCAACUAAUUACGAUGCGAGCCAAUGCGAGUUAUUGCAAUUGUCUUAACGGGUUUUAAAACAAUCUAAAAUGGGGGAAUAUUUUAUUUAUUAGUACAGUUUUAUUGUGACACUGCUUUAAGGAAAACAAUAUACAUAAUUAAUUAGCGCCAGCAAUUGUAUGAUAAAAAGAAGCAUGUUUAUUUGGAUAUUUAUUUCAGAGUUUGUUUUGUUGUUUUUAUAUUGCCUUAUAUAAACUGUACCACUUUAGUCGAAGAUUAUUCGUGCACUGCAUUCAUUCAUACAACGUGUAUUGUGCAAUAUGGUAUGUUUUAUUCUACUAAGUUUGAUAUCUUGUUAUAUACUUGUUUUUGGUGAUCUCGUUUCUUUGGAAGAAUCCGUUAAUGAGCAUACCUAUUUGAUUCCAAACGAAAUAAAACAGGAAAAAAAUCGGAUUAAGAAUGAAAAAAUACAUAUCAACAUUCCAUUCCACCUCAACAAUUAUAAUCUUUCUAACAGAUAUUAUGAUGAACACAGUAAAAUAAGCCAAAAAGAUGACAAGGAAUCCGGGGAAUAUUUACGUAAUUAUGCCAGCACAUUUGAUCAUAUGAAUUUUAUUUAUGAUCAUAAUAUUUAUAAUUACAACCAUAACUAUAAACGAAAUGAGCACAGGGAUUAUAAUCCAUACAAUUCUCGCGAUCUUCAAAUAUUCAAUCAACGUGAUGGAAAUCAGAAUGUGUUUUAUGUUGCUUCAAAACCUAUAGCUAUUUUUAAUUCUCAACUUCGUAAUUACCAACACGAGGCAAGGAAUAUAUUAGAAUCCGGGGAUUUUAAAUCAGCAUUGUUUUCUUCUACCCCUAUAGUCGAAUAUAAGUCAUAUAUAACUAAUAUACCAGAAAAACGAUUUAAUUAUUAUUCAAAUGCACCGGAAUCUAUUUUUCAUACUCAAGUUAAUGUGAAUUCUCCAGAGGCUAAGCUAAAUGUGGCUAACAACUUUCCUCUUCUAAAUGAUAUAAGCACUGAAGUCAAUGACCAAAUAUUGGUGCCUGUAAUGGAUGAAACAAUGCAGAAAACUGAUGAAGGAAUAUAUUCGGUUGAAGUUAUUCGCACUCCUAACACGACCCAAGUACAUCUCUUAUCCAAUUUACAAGACGACGGUUACCAUUAUGAUCGACCGAGGAUGAAUUUCUUUUAUUGAUAUUUUUUUUUGUGCUGAUUGUCAUUAGUAAAAUUACACUCAACAUUUGCAUACAUAUUCAUAUUUCAACGAAUUAAUUUCAAUGAUACAGAUUAGUAAUAAACAUACUUUUAGGCUGAAAAGAGUCACUUCUGUUUCCGAUUGUUUUGUAUUCAAAAUAUACGCACUUAUAAUACUCAACUUCCAUUUGUGUGAGCUUUUAAUUUUCUGAGUACUUUUAAACUCAUACAUAACCGCCUGCAAAGGCAAAAUGUUAAACAUAUAUAUAUAUAUGUAUAUAUACUUAAACAGAUGAGUGUCAUAUUUAUACUCCCGCAAGUUUCCAUGGAGGUGAAAUGUUUCAAAUUUGCCGGUGUUGGCAACGCUUUACAUUAAAAACAUUUACAUUUUAUAUUUUCGCUUUUAUCUCUAUAUUUAACCCGUUUAGUUUAAGGUGUAACAAACAACCGUUACGUGAACAAAACGAUCAUUAAUUUUUUUUGUUUAAAGCUUAAUUAUGUUAAAGUAUUUUGUGUGAAUGAAUUUAUUGCUUUGUAAUGCGGCAUAAAAUUGUCCAAUCAAACAAUACAAAUUAAUGUACAUACUUAUAUAUUUAAUAUACCAGAUAGGACUCAAUAACUCGCUUACUCUAUUUAAAGAAGUGUCAGAGAAAAUCAUUAGUGACGACGGUAAAUAGUGCGGCGAUGGGUUUUAUAACGGUAACCAUCAUCUGAUAAAACAUGUCCCGGGGCAGCUUCAACAGGUACAGCCUGUUGAACAGGUGGCAAGUAGUCAUUUGAUGGUGCAGCUACUGGUGCUUCCUGAACUGGUGGCAAGUAUUCGUUGGAGGGUAAAUGGCUCACAUCACGACGGUUGCGGCGAUAUACAACUCUACGGUGUGUCUUAUAACGAUAGCCGUCGUCAGCUAAUACAUGAGUUGCAGCAGCUUCCACGGGAGCUGGUGCUGGAGCUGCCUGUUGAACAGGUGGCAAAUAGUCAUUUGAUGGUGCAGCAACUGGUGGUAAGUAUUCGUUAGAGGGCAAAUGGCUCACAUCACGACGGUUGCGACGAUAUACAACUCGACGGUGUGUCUUAUAACGGUAACCGUCAUCAGCCAAAACAUGAGAUGCAGAAGCUUCAACGGGAGAUGGUGCUGGAGCCGACUGCUGAACAGGUGGCAAAUAAUCGUUUGAUGGUGCAGCUACUGGUGCUUCCUGAACUGGUGGCAAGUAUUCGUUAGAGGGUAAAUGGCUCACAUCACGACGGUUGCGACGAUAUACAACUCGACGGUGUGUCUUAUAACGGUAACCGUCAUCAGCCAAAACAUGAGAUGCAGAAACUUCCACGGGAGAUGGUGCUGGAGCCGACUGCUGAACAGGUGGCAAGUAAUCGUUUGAUGGUGCAGCUACUGGUGCUUCCUGAACUGGUGGCAAGUAUUCGUUAGAGGGCAAAUGGCUCACAUCACGACGGUUGCGGCGAUAUACAACUCGACGGUGUGUCUUAUAACGGUAACCGUCAUCAGCCAAAACAUGAGAUGCAGAAACUUCCACGGGAGCUGGUGCUGGAGCAGCCUGUUGAACAGGUGGCAAGUAGUCAUUUGAUGGUGCAGCAAUUGGUGCUUCCUGAACUGGUGGCAAGUAUUCGUUAGAGGGUAAAUGGCUCACAUCACGACGGUUGCGACGAUAUACAACUCGACGGUGUGUCUUAUAACGGUAACCAUCAUCAG